rnacentral:rRNA from 1 species
GACGAACGCUGGCGGCGUGCUUAACACAUGCAAGUCGAGCGGUAAGGCCCUUCGGGGUACACGAGCGGCGAACGGGUGAGUAACACGUGGGUGACCUGCCCUUAGCUCUGGGAUAAGCCUGGGGAAACUGGGUCUAAUACCGGAUAUGACCUCAUGACGCAUGUUGUGGGGUGAAAGCCUUGUGCGGCUAGGGAUGGGCCCGCGGCCUAUCAGCUUGUUGGUGGGGUGAUGGCCACCAAGGCGACGACGGGUAGCCGGCCUGAGAGGGCGACCGGCCACACUGGGACUGAGACACGGCCCAGACUCCUACGGGAGGCAGCAGUGGGGAAUCUUGCGCAAUGGGCGAAAGCCUGACGCAGCGACGCCGCGUGAGGGAUGACGGCCUC